rnacentral:rRNA from 1 species
AACGGUAACAGGAAUAGCUUGCUAUUUCGCUGACGAGUGGCGGACGGGUGAGUAAUGUAUAGGGAUCUGCCUAGUAGUGGGGGACAACAUGUGGAAACGCAUGCUAAUACCGCAUACGCUCUACGGAGGAAAGUGGGGGACCUUUCGGGGCCUCACGCUACUAGAUGAACCUAUAUCAGAUUAGCUAGUCGGUGAGGUAAUGGCUCACCAAGGCGACGAUCUGUAGCUGGUUUGAGAGAAUGAUCAGCCACACUGGGACUGAGACACGGCCCAGACUCCUACGGGAGGCAGCAGUGGGGAAUAUUGCACAAUGGGCGCAAGCCUGAUGCAGCAAUGCCGCGUGUGUGAAGAAGGCCUUAGGGUUGUAAAGCACUUUCAAUAGGGAGGAAAAGUUAUACGUUAAUAGCGUAUAACCGUGACGUUACCUAUAGAAGAAGGACCGGCUAACUCCGUGCCAGCAGCCGCGGUAAUACGGAGGGUCCGAGCGUUAAUCGGAAUUACUGGGCGUAAAGCGCGCGUAGGCGGUUUACUCAGUCAGAUGUGAAAGCCCCGGGCUCAACCUGGGAACUGCAUUUGAUACUGGUAGGCUAGAGUAUGGUAGAGAGUGGAGAUUGGAAAUUUCAGGUGUGGUAGGCGGUUGAAAUGCGUAGAGAUCUGAAGGAACAUCAGUUGGCGAAAGGCGACUCACUGGGCCAUUACUGACGCUGAGGUGCGAAAGCGUGGGUAGCAAACAGGAUUAGAUACCCUGGUAGUCCACGCCCUAACGAUGUCAACUAGUGUGUGAGCGUUUAACGCUU